CCACUGUAGAUGUCACCCCGGGAACUGGGGCUAAUACCUGAUAGGUGAGGAGGCCUGGAAUGGUUUUUCACUCAAAAGGCGUUGGAACCAUGCUUUUCAGCGUCGCCUAAGGAUGGGGCCGCGACCGAUCAGGUUGUUGGUGAGGUAACGGCUCACCAAGCCUAUAACCGGUACGGGCCGUGAGAGCGGGAGCCCGGAGAUGGGCACUGAGAUAAGGGCCCAGGCCCUACGGGGCGCAGCAGUCGCGAAAACUCCGCAAUGCGCGAAAGCGUGACGGGGCUACCCCGAGUGCCGUCCGCUGAGGAUGGCUUUUCCUCGGUGUAAUGAGCUGGGGGAAUAAGGAGAGGGCAAGUCUGGUGUCAGCCGCCGCGGUAAUACCAGCUCUCCGAGUGGUAGGGACGACUAUUGGGCUUAAAGCGUCCGUAGCCGGCUUAGCAAGUCUCCUGUUAAAUUCAGCGACCUAAUCGUUGAGUUGCGGGAGAUACUACUAGGCUAGGAGGCGAGAGAGGCCGACGGUAUUCCCGGGGUAGGGGUGAAAUCCUAUAAUCCCGGGAGGACCACCAGUGGCGAAGGCUGUCGGCUAGAACGCGCUCGACGGUGAGGGACGAAAGCUGGGGGAGCGAACCGGAUUAGAUACCCGGGUAGUCCCAGCUGUAAACGAUGCGGGCUAGGUGUUGGGGUGGCUACGUGCCGCUCUAGUGCCGCAGGGAAGCUGUUAAGCCUGCCGCCUGGGGAGUACGGCCGCAAGGCUGAAACUUAAAGGAAUUGGCGGGGGAGCAC
rnacentral:rRNA from 1 species